GACGAACGCUGGCGGCGUGCUUAACACAUGCAAGUCGAACGGAAAGGCGCUGCGCUUGUGGGGUGCUCGAGUGGCGAACGGGGGAGUAAAACGCGAGUAAAAUGUGCUCGCCUUUGGUGGAUAUCCACGUAACAGGGGCGCUAACACGGGAGAUUCUCCGUCUGUCGGGUGGGGGGCGGGAGGAUGAGGUUGUUGGGGAGGGGGAUGGGCUCGCGGCCUAUCUGGGUGGGGGUGGGGUUGUGGCUUGCUAUGGCGGUGACGGGUAGCCGGCCUGAGAGGGGGACCGGCCACCUUGGCACUGAGCUACGGCCCAGAGUCCUACGGGAGGCAGCAGUGGGGACUAUUGCCCAAUGGGCGGAAGCCGGAUGCAGCAACGCCGCGUGCGGGAUGAAGGCCUUCGGGUUGUAAACCGCUUGCGCGUGUGUCGAAGCGUGAGUGACGGUAACUGGUAAAGAAGCACCGGCUAACUACGUG
rnacentral:rRNA from 1 species